AGAGGAAGGAGAAGUCGUAACAAGGUUUCCGUAGGUGAACCUGCGGAAGGAUCAUUGUCGAGACCCGCAAAGCAGACCGCGAACACGUGUUUAAGCAGGCGGCGCGCGGUGCGGGGGCGACCCCCGCCGAGCGCCGUCCCCCCGCCGGCGUGCGCCCUCGGGCCACGCCGCGCGGGCUAACGAACCCCGGCGCGGAACGCGCCAAGGAAAACCGAACGAAGCGCCCGCCCCCCGCGCCCCGUCCGCGGAACGUGCGGGGGUGCCGGACGCCUCAAGAAUGUCAUAACGACUCUCGGCAACGGAUAUCUCGGCUCUCGCAUCGAUGAAGAACGUAGCGAAAUGCGAUACUUGGUGUGAAUUGCAGAAUCCCGUGAACCAUCGAGUCUUUGAACGCAAGUUGCGCCCGAAGCCAUUUGGCCGAGGGCACGUCUGCCUGGGCGUCACGCAUCGCGUCGCCCCCCUCCGCCGCGCAAUGCGCGGGUCGUGGGGGGCGGAUACUGGCCUCCCGUGCGCCCCGGCGCGCGGCUGGCCCAAAUGCGAUCCCUCGGCGACCCGCGUCACGGCAAGUGGUGGUUGAACGCUCAAUCUCUUGCGCCGUCGUGCCGCUGCGUCGUCCGCACGGGCAUCCGCCAACGACCCUUCGGUGACGGCGCCUCGCGGCGCCCCACCUUCGACCGCGACCCCAGGUCAGGCGGGAUCACCCGCUGAGUUUAAGCAUAUC
rnacentral:rRNA from 1 species